ACCCGCUCUUGGCCUCUCCUCCCACCGCGGCGCAGGGCCGGUGGCAGCCGCAGCAGCCAGGCGGGGGAAGGCACGGAGGGCAUGGUCCCCGUGUGGGUCACCCGGUGUUACCUGGAGGCCCUCAGGGUUGUUUGUAACAUGGGAGCCGCCUCCUCGGUCCCCCCGGCAGCACUCCUCGAAGCUGUCCCAGAGGGAACGUGAACCCCAUGCGUGGAGGUGCAUGUUCCGCUCCUUGUCUCUUCAGGCCCUUGCUUCUCUUUUCCUGGCGGUGAUCUGGAGGACUAGUGACUCUGUACAAAUUAACUUCAAUUCUAUUUAGCAUCUUUUUAGUGUAGUGGCCAGUAACUGCCCUAUUUGUGAAAGCUAGAGAGCUGUGCCUUCCUAAAGCCUUUCUUGGGCGUUAUGAAGCAAUCAACAGGUUCCUCGUCUCCUUGGUUCCUGCGAACCUUCUGGUUCAAGACCUGGUGGUAACAGUACUCUGGCAUAAGUAAUAUUUUUAUCAGGGGAUAAACAGUUUGCUUGUUCUUUAGACCAUGUGUGUUUGACUUGGAUUCAUCGGGGAUUCCUCUGUCCCCCCUUGUCUGCCAUCCUGCCUCUUUAGGUAUGUUAUAGGCUCCAGUACUCCUUUUCCUGCAGGUUUGGACCUCUUACUUUACCCAGGACCUCGUUAAUCCCCCCCCCCCCCCCCCCCUUCCUACUUGUGCUGAUGGAUCUUGGUGCCCUCCUUUUCCUGGUUACCCUUAUCCUCUGCCUUCCCCCAUUUCUCUUUAAUCUUUCAGGGUGUGAACAUUUUUUAAAGUCUUCAAGGAGAUCAGGGGAAGCUUUACAGGAAUUUGGCACGUUGGUGGAAGCUGCCAAGCAGGCACUGUCUGUUGGGAGCUGGGGCACUCCCCAAGACGGUGGAACUGGUGGAUUGUGGCCUUUGAAAGGCAGCACACCAGAAAAAUGCUGUGGAGACUGGGCCAAAGAGGAUGUCUACAGUAAAUGAGGUCUCCGGGAAAGCUACUGAGUGCAGAAUGCUGCAGUGAGGAGUUGGUGUCGCUGGGGGCUCGCAAAGUGCCUGCGGUUUGUUGCAAGGGUAAAGGAGUCCCUUCAGCGCCUCGUUGCUGCCCUAGGAUGGAGCAUCCCAUCCUCUGCAGAUGGUCUUGCCUUUGUUUCUAAGAAUUUGAUUUUCUGCGUGGUCUGUUGCCUGCCUGGACUCUGAGCUUUCGGGCAUCUGUAUGCUUCCUGCCACUUUUCCUUUGGUCUGUUGCCAGCGGCACGCCGUGGGUGACACAGGGGGUGAAUGUCAGAAAGCCAUACCUAACGCUUAACGCUAGGGCUGGCAUCAUGGUCCUUGGCCUGGCGUCGGCAGCACUCUACACCAGCAGAGACCCUUCUCUUGGCCCUGUUGAAUUCAAAAGCUCAGCACCUCCAGUGAGUGCUGGCAGCCUGUAGGCUGCCUGUGCUGCCUGGGGCCAGCUGGGACAGUGAGGAUGAGAGGACACAGUGUCCCUAUUCCCAGCGUACCCUCCUAUCCCAUCUAUUUCUCCCUGGCUCCCAGCUGUCCUGCUUUCCAUUUUUUCCACUGCAGGCAAUUAAAGAAAUCCUGAAAAGAAACACAAGGUUAUUUCCCAUGAGGUCACCCCUGAAAGAAAGAGGAGUCCUGUGUGGAUACAUGUGUCGCGGGUGCCAAGCUGACAUUUAGGCUCGGAAACAAGCUCCAUGCAGGCUGAACGCACGUGCCUGUAAAUGUCCACUUUGCAGAGCCAGGAUCUCCUGCUCCCAGGGGGACCCACUGGAAACCCAUCUAUAACCUGUAUCACCAGGGUGGCUCAGUGCUUGCCAGAUUUAAGCGCAAGUUACCUCAAACCAUUCUGGAGUCAAAAUACCACGUUACAGAUAGAAAUCUGCGACAAAAACAACUGAAUAAUUUGCCUUGUGUUGGGAGGAAAACGUGGCCAUAAAAAGCAAGUCCUUUGAGUGGGGGAGGACAAGGAUGAAGGAGCAAUAGGAGGGAGAGGAUGGUGACGUGCACAAAGGCCAGAGGGAGGAACUGCUGCAGGUGGCAAGAGGUUGGCACGGCCACCAGGGCUUGCAGAUGGGGGGAUUUGGUGAUCUCCUCGUGUUUCUCAAAGCAGUGCUGUUCUGAAAGGGUUACCUCAGUUUUCUGAGCUUAGAGCGUGUGAAACACAGAUGCAUGACGAGCAGAGAGAGAAGGAAAAAAUAUUUCAGAAGCCAAGAAAAUAACAAAUGGAGGAAUCAAGCCUAAAUCUUGUGUUGUGGGAGGGUGAGCAGGGCAAGGAUGCUGGGGAAUAGGAAGAAGUAGUUAAGGGGAGGGAGGGAAGGAGGAAGAGAGUGAGAGGUGAUGUGAUAGAAAUGAGCAGAGGUGGAACAAGGAAAGAUGCUCACAGUGAAUUUAUUUGAAUGUCCAUUGAAAUGUUACCCUGGAAUAAAACCCCAGUUCCUGUGAAGUUGCGAAGACUGGGACUGCAGGCUCCCUCCUGGGGGGACUUGGCUGCUGCCAAGCAGCGUUACUGUUGAGAUAUAUUUUAGAAUAUACCAUGCCACAGCAGGUGUGUGCAAUUAGAGGAGAGCUCUCCAAAAUAGCAGGCGGCUGUCAAUUUUUUAGCAAAUGGUGUUGCCCUUUUUUUUCUUUGUCCAACUGUAUUAGAAAUUUAUUCUAAUAUGCAUCAUCUUUACAAAAGCAUUUUCAAAGGACCUGUUAUUUUUACCCUUCUGUUACUUUUUGUGACCAGACAAGGAGCAGAAGGCUAAUCCCGUGGCCACUGUGGGUGGGUUUUGUUCCACUGAAGGAAGUUAAUGAACUCUAACAAACGAGAAAGUUUCAGGAAACCUUCCACUCUGAAAGCAGAGUGCAGAUUUCCUCCUGGCUGGAAUUUAACCAAAUUAAAAUGAUUACUACCUUCGCAAAAUAUUACUAUUGCAGUCAUUUCCCUUUUUAUAGUGCUUCACGAAUGUAUGACACCUCAGAAUACUCCUGUAUGUUAAGUUUGCAUUUUCAUCCUGAUUUUCUUGAAGAGGAAACUGAGUCACGGUGAGUUUCAUAGUUUGACCAAGCCAUGCAGUCAUUUUGUGGCUGAAGCAUUGGUAAGGUGUGUGACCAGCUAUCAUGAUUAGAUUUUUGUUCCACGACAUGUAUAGAAAGGAAAUACUGUUUAAAAAAUACCUGCCAAAGAAACUAUUUAGCCUGAUGAGCUCCAGUAUUUUAUGUUUAUUGGAUUAGGUGAACACCUCCCUGAACAAAGGGCUGUAGCUGUGGUGUGAAUCGGAGAUUUACCAUAAAAUGUCUGCCUAGUAGAGACACAAAUAGCAUUUGGACACCCCUUAAGUAGGUGAGCUUUUCCCCUCUGAAUGGUAGGGGUCAGAAAAUAGACUUACAUUGCCUUGGCUUCUUUGGUUCCUUCCCGAGGGCUUUUUGCUCAGCAAGGGGACUGGGCUGGGCUGGACACAUUCUCCCACAGCUCUACACCGCACAGGCUGCAGCUGCUCUGGGAAGCUGGCAGUGAUGCUGGCUGCCGGAGGAGCGUGGUGGCAUAACCAGGCUGGUGUGACUGCCCAAAGAGCCACAAGCAGCUCACGGCAAGCACGGUAUCUCCGUGCCCUGCUCUUGUGGGGCAUGUGCCUCUUUGGGGAAGCUCCAUGGAGUGCACGGAAUACGUCUUAAUGGCCAGGUACUUUGCUUGCCAGAGCGGCUUUUUGGUGGAGUGUCUGCUGCUCUGCUCUAGCACAAAAUGUUUUCCUACCCUUCCAACUACCCCUUCCACCCCAAAAUGUUUCCAUGGCUGGCGCUCUGAGUCCAAUUCAGGUGCUUUCGCUCUGGUCCCUUGAAGUGACGACGGCUAGCACAGCCUCAGGUGUUGUAAGUGGCAGGUCUCCACUCUUGCAACGUGGGCAAGAAUACGCGCAGCAUUCAUGUUCAGAGUCACAGGACGCUUUACCCUGCAGCCAGAACAGCUUUCACCAUUCUGACUGUAGAGCUAACGGUGAUGUCUCUGUGUCCUGCAAGGAUGGGUGACCAUGGUGGCUAUUAUAAACUAGUCAGUCUGGGCACGCAAACUGUAUUGUGUUUGCAAAGUGCAGAAAUUUAUUUAUAAAUUGUUCGAGUGUGCUGUGUUCUUUCCUGUGGAGCUGUAUCGCUCUUGUGUACUCCAGUCUGUCUGUUGUUGUGAACCUUGUAGCCAGCUGCUUUGUGAGCAAGGCGCCUGGGGAAAUGGAAAGAAUGUUUCCACUCCUAAUUUCUGUGAUCCUUUGGGGUGGAAUCAGCAAGAAUACACUCCUAAAUGCCACUGGAGACCAAGCCCCUCCCUCAAGGCACCAUUCCUGGUACGGCAUACAGAUCUAUGCAUCUCGUCUCCUUUUCUGCAUGCUUUCACAUCAGCAGUUUACCUUCCAGCAGUGAAAUGGUCUGUCGAUACUUGCAGGUCAUAUUUUUAUUUCUGAAUUGCUGCAGGUUAUGUGGGACAGUCCUGGAAGUCAAGUCAUGGCAUUUAGAGUUGGUGUCAUGAGGACAUUUUCAAAGAUUUUCUUCGGUGGAUUUUAGAAACAGGGUAUCGAGGAGUCAGUUGUUUCAUGUCCCUUUUGCCUAGGGCGGCAUGAUUUUCCCUAUCUUUUCCUUUUAAAUUCCAAGUGUGGGCAUUUGGUCAUUGUCGGUGUGGUAGCAAGAGAGCUGGAAGCCGGCUGUGCGCUGUGGGCAACACACCGAUUGUGUGAAGGUUCAUCCCCUGCCCUGUAAUCUAGCACAGAAGAUGCACUCCCUGCCUUCUGUUUUUCUUUUGUCCAAACUUUGUCAUCCUAAACUGGAUGAUGCCUACAGCCAUCUGCUGCAUUUGGUAGUCUGCGGCAUCAUGCCGACUCAAUUAUGCGCCUCUCUGGGAUAACAGCAGGCCAGUUUUCUCUUCAACUUUGAAAGAGUGCUUUUCCUGCGCAAAGGAAGGCUGGAGUAAGAAGGAACCUCCAGAAACAAGCUGGAUAAGCUGUUGUCGGGUGCACUCUUCAUGUCUGCAUGGUGGAGCUGUUUGGGUGCAGUGGGAGAGCUGCCAGUGUUUGAGAUGCUGCGUCCUGCUCUGAUGCGGUGGCAGACAUGCUUCCCUGUGGCAGCAUUUAACCAUUUGGUGCUUUUAAUCUUUACCACCUCCUUUGCUUUUUGUGAAUAUGCAUUACACCAAGUGGUUUGAAAUUAAAGGAGAUGGUAGAAGUGUAAAUGAUAGUCGCUUUUUUCUAAGCGCCCAGGGUAAGAGAGCUACGGGGAGAUCACGCUGAGCCUUACAGUGGCUUCCUAGCAAAGUUGUUCUGUUAUGCUUUUUCAUACCUACGCAGAAGUGCCCAAGCAGUAGAAUUUAUGUGUGUGAUACACCCUGCGACCUCAGUCUUCUUCCUGUGGUGGGCUGGGGAGGCAUAACUGGAAUCUGGGGUAAGAUGUAAUCCUCUUAUUUUGCUGCAGGCUCAGGAUAAAUUUUAAGGCUCCAGGGCUGCUUCCAGUUUUCUUCUUUGUCUUCCCUGCGGGUGGUGGACCUGAUGGGUUUCAACAUGCCGUCAUCCAGGCUUGCCGUUUCAGUCCUUCUGAGCUGUCCGUAGUGCCCUGAGCCAUUUUCCCCUGCAGUAUAUACUCAUCUUUGUUAUAUGAGGAUAGGGGUCAGAUCAAGUGGUGGGGAGCUAGAGGAGAGGACAUAAACGUCUCGGGGACCAGUGCUAUUUACAUUCAAGAUGUUUCUGGCCCCACCAGCUGUUCCAUGUGUGUUAUUUUCAGAAGGGCAAUAAUCCAUGGGAGGUCAGGAGGGUGGAAUUGUGUGAAUACGUCGGGUGAAGGAGAUCAAGACGCUUGGAAGUCCUCAGGCCUUGUCAUGACAGAGAGUCAGGAUCCCAGAUGAUUGUGGCUUGCAGACUGGGAGAACUCAAGGAAAGCUCUGAAUGUGCUGCUUGAAUGGCUAGGAAAGGCUGCUUAGCCGGGUGUUUGUUAGCUGUUUUCAAGAGUCGUCUAUGUUUACACUGCUGGCAGGACCACCUGUUCUUUUUCGAACAAUAAUAUGUAUAUAUAUGUGUGUGUGUAUAUAUUGCUGCAUUUCUGCAUUUAUUUUUAGCCCUUUCUAAAAACUCCUGACAGGUUUGAAAGAUGCUGUGGAUCGAGAGUGGUGCCUGGCGGCAUUGCUCACAUUGACGGUUGUCAGAAUUUCCAUGAUAAAUCCCUGCUUUGAAAGGCUUAUAACUCGUCCUUCUAUUCUCGGUCCUGCAGCUUUCAUAUCCUGGGAAAAAAAGCCACUUUUUUAAAAACUGCAUCUUCCCCAAAGGUUUGUGAAAUUCAGUUCUGUUGGCCUAAACCGGAACUUUCUCAAAGCAGACGUUGAGUCUUGUCACUUUCUUUUUCAGUGCCUAAUUGCAAAUGUGUGGCAGGUCUCUUUAAUACGUUUCAUAUGGUCAAAUGGAAAAACUGUUUUGCAUAUCAGACUGACACAGACACUGGAUGGUGUAAAUCAGUAGGGAGCCAACACCACUUUGCUCCCCUCCACCAGCUAUGAGGAAGCACAAAACCAGCUGAAUUAUGGCAGAGGCUGGGCAGUCUCCAGAUCGGGUCUGAUACCGGUUGCAGAACUGUAGGGCGAAUGCCCUUUGUGCCAACUACUAGCAGACAGUUGAGGCGUACCGUGGGUCUUUUACAUUCAUAAACAAAGGACAUGCAUAUUGCUAUUACGUGCAAUCAGCAAGAGAAAUCCAUUACAAAUCAGCAGCUGAUGAUUUGAAUGAAGAAAUACAUAGUUAUCCUGUUUUAACUUUGUGGUUCACAUGUCCAUAGUGUCUUCCAUCCAUGCAGUGCAAAGCAGGUCAUAGUUGCUAAUCUGUGCCAUUCCCCAGUGAAGUCGUACAGGCAUCGUUGUGAUUUCUGGUGUACACCCAGGAGAGACGGUGUUGUGAGGAGAUGUAAUGAUGUGCCCCGGUGAUGCCGGGAAUCCAUGGCAAAACAGAGCACAGCACCUGGGAACCCGAGUCGUGCAACAGUGCUGGAAGGACCGAGCUGCAUCUCUUCUGAGAGUUUUCACUGUUUUUGAAAGCCGUUGAAGUGUUAGCUGCAAAUAGUACAUUUGUAUGCAGCAGGUAGGGGCUAAUUCAAAACAUGAAGGUAAUGAACUUGAAACUGGGUCCUGACACACGAUGAGCGUUGUGGAGGGAGAGCUGGGAACCUGAGCUGAAUGGAAGUCCGUGUAAUUUCACAUGCAGUGUUCAGUAGGCCAUUCAAACUCAGAUUAUCUUUUGGCGGAUGGGGAUAAUGCUUAUUCCCUGCCUCACCAGGAAGGCUGUGAGAUAGCAAAGCACAUGCAGAAGGCUUUGUAUAUGCAAGAGCUCAGCUGUUUUUUGAACUGUAUUAGUAGCUGCUUGACUGACGUAUGUGACCUUUCCUUCAGGUCUUGCCUGACAGUUCUGGACCCUCAUGGCUACAACAACACUGCUAUUACAAAAAGGAGAUAGUCCUGUGUUGCUUUUGUGCAUGUUGCAUUGGGUGCACACACAGUGCCAUAUCUGUGUUUUACUGUCACUCCAGACAUGGAGUUUAAACUUUUUUUUUAUCCUGAUUUGUCCUCUUCUGCAACUGAUUUUCCUGUGGACACAAAGGUGGGUUUUUUUUCUGGUUCCCCUGCCCAUCUCUUGUCUAUCUGAGGGCAUGCAUUCCUGUAGGAGCUUGGCACCUCCCUAGCAGGAGGCAAGGGCCACUAUGUUCAUUUUCCAGAUGGGAAUUUCAGGCAGAGAAAGGCUUGGGUGACUUGCCUGCUGUCAGACACAAAACUUGCUGGAGUAGGAACCCAAGGGCGCUCCAAAUUUCAGACUGGUGCCUGAGCUGCUUGUCCAGACUCAGUGUUAUCUUUUGUUGCCAUUCUGAUCCCAGCUGGCUGUCAGCUGUACCAGCCAGGGCUCCGUGGGUAUUUAUGCUGCUGCCAGUUCUCAUGUCUCAAUUGGGAGUCAUUUAACGCGGGUGACUGAGAUUCCUUGAGAGGAAGAAUGUGAAGUAUCCCAAGCAAUGGUAUGGUUAACAUCGGUUUUGUCGUAAGACUAUUUUUUAGUAUUUAUUUUAAGGAUUGGUGACACACAUGAGUUUUCCUACGGCUUCAAUAUCUGUGGUUUCAGCCAUGAAAAAGGGUCAGAGGCAAAACCGUGUUGGCAUAGGAGUUUAAUAUCCUCCCCUUGUAAGAUAAUAGAAUAAAUCGGAAGAGAAACAUAUGAUUUAAAAUCUUUAGUGAUAGUGAGAUGGUAAGAAAGGGACAGCACAACAUUUUUCGUAAUGCAUUUGGCAUUUCUGAAGAACGAUUCCUGGUAAAACGUGAUUGCAAGUCAACAGAGUCAGCAAAUGAAUCAGGGAAGGGAAUGUGGCACGUCGCCCUUAGUAAAAAACCGUUACAUGUUCUCUUACUCUCAAUUACCCUAAUUUGAAGUGGGGAGCUAAUGAAUAUUGCUAAAUGGAUUGAAACAAACAGCAGCACUGUGGACAAAAAAUAAUCAUUAUGAACUGCAGUGUAUUGACCACAGUGAAUUUUUCACAGAUUUGUAGGUUUUAAUGCUGGGUUGUCUGGUCUGACUGUCUGCUUAGUGUAGGGGAAAGGACCUGAACCCAUAAUUUCUGAUGGGGUCAGUAACUUCUAUUAGCAGUGAUACCUUUUUAAACCCCACUGCAACAAUUAGAAAUUACCUCAUCCCUAGACUGUGCUUUUCAAUUGUUAAUUAAAAUAAUAGUUCUCAGUAUAAGAGGGCUUCUGUUAGAAGAGCAUCAGUUGUCAGAGAUGUUGUCACUGUUGCUAGUACUUAUGUAUUAGGAUUAAAAUGCUUCUUACCUUGUCUUGGUAGGUGACAUAGAGCAAGCUGUAGACUCCCAUUGCAGGCCAGCACGUGGUGCAGAGGUGCUGGGGGUAACGUCGGAGCUGGCAUUGUGUGCAAGCACGGAGCAGCCAGGCCCGGCCGUGUUUGGGUUUCUGGGUCUGGGAUGGUAUGGCUGUGUGAUGUUGUGAUGCGAUGCAUGUAUGUCUGUGCCCUGCAGCCUUGCUGCUUGCUUCGAAAGAUGCGCAGGGUGGUGGCAGCUGUGAUGUAGGUCGUGGGGAGGAGUGCUUUGGAAAGCUGUAGCCUAUUUGCACCAUAGGAAGCAGGCUGUUCACCUUAGCCCUGAGUACACCUUAGGAGAGGGAAAGGGCUAAAGUGUCUCAGUGUUUUCCCUUUGAUGGUCUCUUCAAGCUCUCGGGUACCUCACUGUGCUGGGAGUGGUGAUGUGCUUGUGUGGUCAGAGUUAUCCGUCAGGAAUCAGUGAGGAUUAUUCUGAGUUCUCUUUCAUUUAAUGAAUGUCUUUGUUGUUGAUUUAGGGCUGGGCACUUUAACGAACUUUUCAGAAAGUCCUCAAAUUUGGCAUUUCUCUGGAAAUGCCAACGAUGAAAUGAAUCUGAAGAAACUAGUAAUAUGGAGAGGAAAGUGUAACUGUAUCCUAAGAAAAUACAAGACCACAGAGGGGAAAAAAUAAUCCAAAGCCUAAUUACAGAUGAAAAAACGGUGAGAAAAGAGUUCUCAUGAACUGUGAGAGGAAAAUGAAUGGCAAAAAAAUCCAUUUUUCAGUGAAAUACCAGCUACCACAUAUGUUUUUGGGUUGACAGUGCAUGUUAUACAGCGAAGGUGAUGGUAAUUUCUGCUAUGCAUGUGUACCUAAGUGCUCUCUUGAAUCUGGGCUGAAAUGGAAGAAAAGCAAGGUGGGAACUGAACAUGGCUUCAUUGGACUACGUGAUUUAGCGAUGGCUAAUUUUAGACACUUGUUUCUGAAAUGUCUUGCCCGUAGCCUGGCACCCAUCAAACUGGUUCUGUCAGGAACACUUUUCAACCUCAAACUUUGUUCCCAGGCUGAAGAGCUGGCCCAACAUUUACUUAAAAAACAAACCCAAAGAAAUAGCAGCAGUUUUCUGACCUCAGGCUUGCCUCUCCCUGCUGAUCUGAUUCCCUUUUAAGGGUAGGAGCUGGUGGCUAACAUGAUUUCUGGUGAAACCCUGCGUGUAGCUGGAUAUGAGAAUGCUGGGUUUUGCUGGGGCUGCUGUCAGAAAUGUCAUGCCCUACCAGCCUGUAUCCAGUUUCUAGAAAAAUCUCUCGAUGGUGCCUUUUGCUUUCGUUAUGUUAUCAUAUAGCUGACCGUUGCCGACAUGCCUUUUUAGGGUUAGGUUCAUGUCCAACACGAACAAGAAAAUUUAACUCUUGUGUGGGUCCCUAACAGUUCAUUCUGAUGCCUGGCUUGGCCCCAUCUGUCUUAGCCCUUCCCAUCAAAAUUAACCGUACUAUAAAGAGGGGCUCCUGCACGUGAAUAAUGGCUCACAAACCCCAGCCUGAGCACCUUGCUGCUGUGGUCCAGCCCCAGGAGAUGGAGAUGUCCUCUCAAAAAAUAACAGUGGUCUGCAGGGGGCUUGCUCUUUCUCUUACAAAUGUUGCAGUGGGGCGGUUGACUCACAGGAGCUUGUCAUGGGCCAGCCAAAUGGAGUUUGUAAUAAAGAAAUGAAAAAAAAAAAAAAAAAGUGGCUAAUCUGUUGAUAAAAUGUAGCCACCUCGAGUGAUAAAAAUGGCUUAAUGUAGCAGCCCUACAGGCCUUGGGCCAGAAAUAAUUUUAAAGGAAUACGUAAAUAUUGCAGCUUUUCUGAGUUUUGCUUCCUGGCUUGCUCUGGGGGAAUGCUUUUUGAGAGAAAAUGUGGUGUGAUUGCUUUUAUUCAUCCAGAGACCAGUGAUUUUGCCCUAAUAGGUAGGCUACAAAGCCCAGCGUCACAAACUGCAUUUGAGGACGAGGAGCAUGUUUUAUGCCGGCGCCGUAGUGCCUUCAUAGUGCUUUUGCUACGUUUGUGCCUGGGAAGCGAGGGGCUUGUAAGGGGGCGAUGAAACCCUCUGUGUGGGAGCGUGCAAUGGUGGAAAGUGUUCACGUGGAGAAACUGCUGAAGGACUUGAACCUUCCCGUAGAAGCUUCACGAGCAGCUGAGGAAGCAGGGUUUUCUGUGCCCCUUAACCACAUCCAUCCUUCUGCGGGGUUCCUGCGUGGGCAUCGAGGAUUCCCAGCCAUGUCUCAGACUCCUAGGGACUAGUGGAAGGGACCUAAACCCACAUUUGAAGUAACCACUGUUUCCACCAUCAUGCUUCUCUCUGAUGUUUGCUAUCACUGAUCUAAUGCACAACUGUCUUUAAAACAUCUUUUGGUGUCUAUUUAUUGCACGUACUCUCCAGUGGAGGUGCAUUGCUGGGUUUGUGAUUGACAGUGUUAGUUAACACAAUAUUGUUUGUGCUUCCCGAUGGCUGGAGGAACACACAGCUGCCUCUGGGGUGGAUAUUGGCCUGUAUGAAUUUAAAAUGUAGGUUUCCAUGACUGACGUUUGCUUUCUGAGAACUCUGUUGCCCGUCAAAUUCAAUUGCUCAAAUGUCUGUGGGAAGCCAGUGGUGGUAUGUGAAUGUGGUCUCAGCAAAAUCAUUUAAAAAAAUGUAAACCAAUGUUCACUGUAGGAAAAAUGAAGCAUUUCUACAUUAUUUGGCUAGAAUGAGUGUUAGAAGUUCAUUUGAUCCUCUUUCUUUUUUUGUCAUCACAUUUUCAUGACUUUUUUUUUUUUUGUUUAUAUGGUAUUACAAUUCCUGUGGUCCCCAGAAAGAUCUUUAAUCGUCUAGACCAUAUAAGCAAUGAACAUUUAAUGCAAAAGCAAAGCUAUUGAUUUUGCACUUCAAAGUCACAGCUUUUCCCCCUAAAAAGUGUACCUUAAGAAGCUGCUACACUCCAUCCUCAUUCUCAGUCCAUCCACACCUCUGCUGCAGCUGGUAACCUAAUCACUAAAACGCUGCGCUUUAUUCGCGAAUGUGUGCAAAAACUGGCAUCAGCCCUGCACAGGCACCCCUCCUGUAACCCUGCUGGGAGGAGGUGCCAGAAUCCCUUGGGAUAGUUAGAGCCUGCUGAGCACAGGCUGUUUAUGAGCCUGAGCAUCCUUUUGGCCAGACUGCGUUGCCGCUGAAAGCCUCCCAAGGGAGCAGUGACAGAGGGGGCUCCCCCGGGGGACAGCAGUUCCCCUCGUGCCUGUGUUAGUCCCAGGCUUCCCAGGAGGCAGCAGAGCUGGCAGGAAUGCUGCUCUUCCGUGGCUCCUGCUGAUGCUGGUGGCCUGGAGUGCUUGCCGUUGCUGCGGGUCGGGCUCUCUGCUAUGCUCCGCUGACUUUUUGAAUUGUGAAUUUCUCCAUUCUUUGUACUUUGGCCAUCUGCAGCCCAGUCAAGCAUGUUCUCAUUCCUCUCGACACGCAGCGCUUAUUAUUCUUUGGCUUUUGAGUCUUCCUAAUUCUUUGGCCUCGGUGACACUUCGUGGAAAAGCGUUUGAGGAGAGAUUGUGUAGUCUGGCAUCUUUUUACCUGUUCCCUUGUAACAGUCUGAAAUAUUACCAGCUUUGAGUUUGCUUGAGCAUUGCCACGCUCACAUACUCUGAAAGAGGAAACAACUUGCUUGACCCAUGUGCUCUAGAUCAGCCAUUACUUUUAAGUGUGUCUCUCAAUUUCUCCCUCAUUUGUCUCUUAGCCUGCUCAGCUGUCCCACUGUGCUGUCUGGGGAGAGGGACUUACAGGCACGACCUUGUCUCGUUUCAUUACUUUGUUAGUUUUGGCAUUCUAUGUAUUUUUAAAUAUAGCUUUUCCUUUUAUAGGAUUAAGUAUUUCUGUUUUAAGAGCUUGUUGAAACACACAUUUCUCUGUUCUCCUAUCUUGGGCUCGGCAGCUGAUCAGCACAAGGCUGCAGACCAGAACUGACUUCUGGCUCCUUCACACACCAGUUAGAGGCGAUGCUGAAAUGGUUUGAGGUGGGAGAAGCUUCAGCUCAGUAUAAUUGCCAAGCUGAUCUAGCAAAUGUUGACUGGAUGCCAAAGAAGAUGCAAAGGGCUUGAGGUCCAGUCAGUCUGGUGGAUACAGUGUCGAAGUGGGUAUCACUGGGCAGC